GGACCAAGGAGUCUAGCAUGUGCGCGAGUCAUUGGGACUCUAACUAAACCUACAGGCGCAAUGAAAGUGAAGGUCCGCCGUGCGCGGACCGAGGGAGGAUGGACGGCCUCGAGGGGCCGCCCCGCACUCCCGGGGCGUCUCGUUCUCAAUUUCGAGAAGAGGCGCACCCAGAGCGUACACGCUGGGACCCGAAAGAUGGUGAACUAUGCCUGGUCAGGACGAAGUCAGGGGAAACCCUGAUGGAGGUCCGUAGCGAUUCUGACGUGCAAAUCGAUCGUCGGAACUGGGUAUAGGGGCGAAAGACUAAUCGAACCAUCUAGUAGCUGGUUCCCUCCGAAGUUUCCCUCAGGAUAGCUGGCGCUCGCUUCUCGCGAGUCUCAUUCGGUAAAGCGAAUGAUUAGAGGCAUUGGGGUCGAAACGGCCUCAACCUAUUCUCAAACUUUAAAUGGGUGAGAUCUCCGGCUUGCUUGAACUGUGAAGCCGCGAGAUAUCGGAUCAGAGUGCCAAGUGGGCCACUUUUGGUAAGCAGAACUGGCGCUGUGGGAUGAACCAAACGCCGAGUUAAAGCGCCUAAAUCGACGCUUAUGGGAUACCAUGAAAGGCGUUGGUAACUUAAGACAGCAGGACGGUGGCCAUGGAAGUCGGA
rnacentral:rRNA from 2 species